UACGAAGGGGGCUAGCGUUGUUCGGAAUUACUGGGCGUAAAGGGCGCGUAGGCGGCGCGAUAAGUCAAAGGUGAAAUCCCUCGGCUCAACUGAGGAACUGCCUUUGAAACUGUCGUGCUUGAGGCCGGGAGGGGGUAGCGGAAUUCCCAGUGUAGCGGUGAAAUGCGUAGAUAUUGGGAGGAACACCAGUGGCGAAGGCGGCUACCUGGACCGGUUCUGACGCUGAUGCGCGAAAGCGUGGGUAGCAAACAGG
rnacentral:rRNA from 1 species